AUUGAACGCUGGCGGCAGGCUUAACACAUGCAAGUCGAGCGGGGUGAUGGUGCUUGCACUAUCACUUAGCGGCGGACGGGUGAGUAAUGCUUAGGAAUCUGCCUAUUAGUGGGGGACAACAUCUCGAAAGGGAUGCUAAUACCGCAUACGUCCUACGGGAGAAAGCAGGGGAUCACUUGUGACCUUUCGCUAAUAGAUGAGCCAAAGUCGGAUUAGCUAGUUGGUGGGGUAAAGGCCUACCAAGGCGACGAUCUGUAGCGGGUCUGAGAGGAUGAUCCGCCACACUGGGACUGAGACACGGCCCAGACUCCUACGGGAGGCAGCAGUGGGGAAUAUUGGACAAUGGGGGGAACCCUGAUCCAGCCAUGCCGCGUGUGUGAAGAAGGCCUUAUGGUUGUAAAGCACUUUAAGCGAGGAGGAGGCUCUUUUGGUUAAUACCCAAGAUGAGUGGACGUUACUCGCAGAAUAAGCACCGGCUAACUCUGUGCCAGCAGCCGCCGUAA
rnacentral:rRNA from 1 species